UACGAAGGGGGCUAGCGUUGCUCGGAAUUAUUGGGCGUAAAGAGCUCGUAGGUGGUUUGUUACGUCUGCUGUGAAAACCUAGGGCUUAACCCUGGGCUUGCAGUGGAUACGGGCAGACUAGAGGUAGGUAGGGGAGAAUGGAAUUCCUGGUGUAGCGGUGAAAUGCGCAGAUAUCAGGAGGAACACCGGUGGCGAAGGCGGCUCUCUGGAACGCAACUGACGCUGAGACGCGAAAGCGUGGGGAGCAAACAGG
rnacentral:rRNA from 1 species